rnacentral:lncRNA from 1 species
GCUAAGGUGGGGAAUGAAAAACAGUCAACAUUCUGGGCCAGGUUCAGUACUGAAGGUUAAUGGUCAAUGAAGAAAUCUCCCCAAAGUUUAGAUUAAGAGUCUUCAGUCUAAGAAAACCUGUGAAGUUGGAGUGAUUACCCAUUUAUGGAUGAUGAUACUCAAGCUCGGAGAAGUUCAUCAAGUUGACCAAAAUCUACAGUCUGUAAUUGUUGGGUGUCAAGACUCACAUUCAGGGUAGACAACAUGUGUUGAUUUGCUGCCGGGUAUCUAUUCAUCCAUCUUCUGCUAACUGUAUCCUGAUUCUCCUCUGAGCUACCCAUCAUCCCCAACUCUCUUUCCAAGGGUUUCAGGCAAAUUAACUACACUCCUAGUUCACGAGUGGAUCAUAUGAUCUGGGGUAUAGCUAACCAGCAUCUUGCAUUCCCUGGGCAACAGCGAGUGGAUCAGGGGUGGACCCACAGCCCAUUGAGAACUAUCACCUGGAUAUAAUCGACAUCUGUCAACUACUCCAUCCAAAAACAACAGAAUGCACCUUCUUCUCAAGCUCAGACAGAACAUUCAUCAAGAAAGACCACAUUCUGGACCGUAAAAAUGCGCCUUAACAAAUAUAUGUAUAUAUUUUUUUUUGAGGUCACCCUGCAUGGUACUUCUCCAAGAACUUCUUUCAGGCAUGAAUUUUAAAAAUCAGAAUAUGUCACCUAAAAGCCUGGAUUUGUGUGUCAGUUAUCCACUACCAUGAUAAUGCUGUGUAACAACGAACCACAAAACUUCAAUGGCGUGCAAAAAAGUGUUGAAGAAAGGAUGAUGCUUCUAACUGUGGAAGAGAUGAGUGAACAGGCAGAAAGAAUGGUGUGAGCAGACUUCCUAAGGGAAUGGUGACAUCU